rnacentral:rRNA from 1 species
UCUACAGGCUUAACACAUGCAAGUCGAGGGGCAGCAUUUCAGUUUGCUUGCAAACUGGAGAUGGCGACCGGCGCACGGGUGAGUAACACGUAUCCAACCUGCCGAUAACUCGGGGAUAGCCUUUCGAAAGAAAGAUUAAUACCCGAUGGUAUAAUCAGACCGCAUGGUCUUGUUAUUAAAGAAUUUCGGUUAUCGAUGGGGAUGCGUUCCAUUAGGCAGUUGGUGAGGUAACGGCUCACCAAACCUUCGAUGGAUAGGGGUUCUGAGAGGAAGGUCCCCCACAUUGGAACUGAGACACGGUCCAAACUCCUACGGGAGGCAGCAGUGAGGAAUAUUGGUCAAUGGGCGCAGGCCUGAACCAGCCAAGUAGCGUGAAGGAUGACUGCCCUAUGGGUUGUAAACUUCUUUUAUAUGGGAAUAAAGUUUUCCACGUGUGGAAUUUUGUAUGUACCAUAUGAAUAAGGAUCGGCUAACUCCGUGCCAGCAGCCGCGGUAAUACGGAGGAUCCGAGCGUUAUCCGGAUUUAUUGGGUUUAAAGGGAGCGUAGGUGGACAGUUAAGUCAGUUGUGAAAGUUUGCGGCUCAACCGUAAAAUUGCAGUUGAUACUGGCUGUCUUGAGUACAGUAGAGGUGGGCGGAAUUCGUGGUGUAGCGGUGAAAUGCUUAGAUAUCACGAAGAACUCCGAUUGCGAAGGCAGCUCACUGGACUGCAACUGACACUGAUGCUCGAAAGUGUGGGUAUCAAACAGGAUUAGAUACCCUGGUAGUCCACACAGUAAACGAUGAAUACUCGCUGUUUGCGAUAUACAGUAAGCGGCCAAGCGAAAGCAUUAAGUAUUCCACCUGGGGAGUACGCCGGCAACGGUGAAACUCAAAGGAAUUGACGGGGGCCCGCACAAGCGGAGGAACAUGUGGUUUAAUUCGAUGAUACGCGAGGAACCUUACCCGGGCUUAAAUUGCAUUUGAAUAUAUUGGAAACAGUAUAGCCGUAAGGCAAAUGUGAAGGUGCUGCAUGGUUGUCGUCAGCUCGUGCCGUGAGGUGUCGGCUUAAGUGCCAUAACGAGCGCAACCCUUAUCUUUAGUUACUAACAGGUCAUGCUGAGGACUCUAGAGAGACUGCCGUCGUAAGAUGUGAGGAAGGUGGGGAUGACGUCAAAUCAGCACGGCCCUUACGUCCGGGGCUACACACGUGUUACAAUGGGGGGUACAGAAGGCAGCUACCUGGUGACAGGAUGCUAAUCCCAAAAGCCUCUCUCAGUUCGGAUCGAAGUCUGCAACCCGACUUCGUGAAGCUGGAUUCGCUAGUAAUCGCGCAUCAGCCAUGGCGCGGUGAAUACGUUCCCGGGCCUUGUACACACCGCCCGUCAAGCCAUGAAAGCCGGGGGUACCUGAAGUACGUAACCGCAAGGAGCGUCCUAGGGUAAAACUGGUAAUUGG